UGCCCUAGUAACGGCGAGUGAAGCGGCAACAGCUCAAAUUUGAAAGCUAGCCUUCGGGUUCGCAUUGUAAUUUGUAGAGGAUGAUUUGGGGAAGCCGCCUGUCUAAGUUCCUUGGAACAGGACGUCAUAGAGGGUGAGAAUCCCGUAUGUGACAGGAAAUGGCACCCUAUGUAAAUCUCCUUCGACGAGUCGAGUUGUUUGGGAAUGCAGCUCUAAAUGGGAGGUAAAUUUCUUCUAAAGCUAAAUAUUGGCGAGAGACCGAUAGCGCACAAGUAGAGUGAUCGAAAGAUGAAAAGCACUUUGGAAAGAGAGUUAAAAAGCACGUGAAAUUGUUGAAAGGGAAGCGCUUGCAAUCAGACUUGUUUAAACUGUUCGGCCGGUCUUCUGACCGGUUUACUCAGUUUGGACAGGCCAGCAUCAGUUUCGGCGGCCGGAUAAAGGCUCUGGGAAUGUGGCCUCCACUUCGGUGGAGGUGUUAUAGCCCAGGGUGUAAUACGGCCAGCCGGGACUGAGGUCCGCGCUUCGGCUAGGAUGCUGG
rnacentral:rRNA from 1 species